CCGGGCUCGCGGCGGCGGCGGCGGUGGGACUGGCCCUGCGCCCGGGCACCGCCUGCGCUGCGCCGCCCGGGCUGACUCCGCGGUCCGCCAGGACCUGGCCCCAGUGAACCGGCUCGAGGUGCCCAGGUCCGGCUGCGGGGCCGGGAAGCCCCCUCCACCUUGCCGUCUGUUACGACCCCCGAGGCACAAGGCUGAGCCUCUUCUCACUAUCCGGGUCUGGAGUGGUUCACCUUAGAAGGAUUUUUUGAAGCUCUUGGUGCUCCCUCUGAAAGAACCCACUUCCUUGCGGAUUUCAGGAGCCAAGAAUCCUUAAACGGGGCCAAUUUGCUUUGUAAAGUCAAUUGCCCAAGUGACUUGAGUUCGAAAGGAGAUACUUCCUGGACAACUGCUAUAAAAACAACAACAACAAAUCCUUUUAUUAAUUCGGGGAGUCUGGUCACCAACCGGAUGCUCAGGGGAGAUGGAGCCCUGAGCAGCCCAUAUACAUGGAAGAUCUUUAUUGCAGAGAUCUUCAAACCAGAUGGCUCGCAGAGAUUGAGGAACUUGCCCAAGGCUUGGCAGCUUGAUCUUCUAAGGGUGUGAGGAUACAGGCGUCAAAGGCCCCAUGUUGAGACAGCUCCAUAACAACAUGCAGAUAUUUGGCAAUGAGGGUUCAGAAGAGGACUUGCUGUGGGGAAGAGAGAAAAGAGAUGGGAAGACUCUAUGAAUGAACAGAGAACACUGCAAGCAUCCCAGUUCCUUUGGUUGCCCUGCAGUCUGCAGGUGCCAGGAGAAAUCAAAAGCCAUCUGGAAGGGCUUUCUGUCUGUAUGGAGUCAAGGCAGCGUCUUCAAAUCUAUGCUUUCUAAAACAAAGAAAUAACCUUGAUGAAACAAAUUUUCCCCAGAGGAAGGGGAGAGCCCACAGCAAGCUGGUAAAGAAGAUGCCUGGAGCAGGCAGCAUCCUCAAAUGGAAGGUGUUGGCCUCAAGGGCACUUCCUGACAUCCUAUAUAAUGACAUCUCGGUCUGCCUCCUGGGAACAUAGCCUGCGCCAGAUCCUGUGGGUACACCGCUCCAGGCAUGAGCACCUCCUUGUGCUGGGUGUUGAGAGAUGCACAUUUUUCAAACAACAUGGCCCCUGAACACAAACUACUUCCUCUGUAGUGGAUCCAAAUAAAUGGUAAACUAUUGCACUGAUGAAGAAAAAUCCAUUGUUGUGUUGUAUUUAUUAACAAACGAUAUGUAUGUUUCUAACAUGUCACAUAAAUCCUGUGUCCUUGUGUAGCUGAUGGCGACACCCCUCUCUAGAUUCCCUUUACUCUGCCAGAGCACCCUCCCAGCUGCUGUGACUGUUGGCUGCUAACUGCUCACAGCACACUCUUCUUUUGAGAAUUGCCCUCAUCUGAUUGGAGCCACCUCCUCCAGGAAUGCCAAACAGUCCCAUGUCCUGGAGAGGCCCAUAUCCCAUGCCUGAUUGUUAGGAUAAAAAAGGCUGCCCCUUUGCCUCUUGAGGGUACAAAUCCAUGGUGCUUUGCGUGCCCCAGGGCUCCUUGUGGGAUCAGGCUGAGGCUAGACUAGAGCUGUUCAGCUGACUGAACUCAAACAUUUGCUGAAUCUGAUCCUCUGCCCUGCCCUGCUUCCUCCAUUACCAUGCAGGUUUCACCUGAGGGUACUUUUUCAAUUACUUGCAUGAGAAUUACUUGCAUCCUUUCAAUUACUUACAUCCUUAUCUCGGGUUCUGCGUUUAGGGAACCUAACCUAAGAUCAUACUUUAUGGGUGAUUUGAGGAACAUUUAAGGAUAAUUUUGACUACAUAAUUUUAGUCUUAUCUAUUGAUUUCAUGAGAUAGGAUGUCAUUGCUUUCCUCUGUGUUCCCAGUGCCUAGCACUGUUCUGAGACAUCAUAAGCUCUCAGUUUAACUUUGUUUGAAUAAGUGAAUGAAUGAAUAAAUGCACCACACUUGUCAGCGUACCCUUGCUUUAACAACCAGUAGGCAAUACUAUUUAGGGCUCAGUCUUACGCUCAGGUUUUCUGAGCCUGAACUGGCACCAGGGCUAGCAAAGACUUUUAUGGGCUUAUUUUUCCCCAAAAGCAGAGAACUGAUAAAAUCACACAACCUUGAAACUAAGCAUCUCUUGUUAUUUGUCUGUAACUCCUCCUGUCCUUUAAAGCAUUCUUUCGAAGAGUAGUGAGGACUAAGCUCUGAUUUUUUUUAAUCUUGCCCAUUCCUAUCUAAGGGGUCUGGGGAGUCA